rnacentral:lncRNA from 1 species
CAAAGGUUACUGAAUUACGUUAACCCGUAAGUGGGCUACAAGAUAAUCUGUUUAAAUUGUCUUGUUCUUAGCCAUUUCUAUACACAUUGAUGCUUACGACAGUGACAACCUUGCUGCUAAUGACAAUAUUGUCUUGGUUGAGACAGCAUAAAACAUAUCUAUGCAUCUGUAAUUUUCAUUAUUUUGAUGUUUCACCUACCUCAUAAAUCUAGAGGAAAUGUUCAAAAACAAGAACAGUGAGCUAAGUGGUCUAAGGGGCUGCAAUUUUGCAGUGCCCCAGCAUCCAUUAAUACGAUGCAAACUGGGUAUAAUAAUAUAAGAAAUGUAUAAAAAUUGGUAUAGGAUUUAAAAGAGAAUGCUGGAAACCAAGAUGAUAGUUGAGUGAUUUGGUUUAUUGGCGGAACCUUAAGGCCUUGGGCAUCAAUAUGUGUGUUUGAACCCGACACUCACGAUCACUAAAUCCUGAAUCUGCCACUGAUGUGGUCUCAUGAUACCUAACUAAUCACUAUAUGAAACAUCUAUGGCCUUUACAUUUUCUUUAAUUUGAUGUUGCAGCCUGCCACAUUAAUCUAAUGGACCUUUUCUAAUUAAAAACAGUGAGCUAACUGGUCCAAUAAUGCCUAACUAAUCAGUACAUAAGGACCUAAAGAUAGUUGAGCCAUAUAAGCAUUUCACAUUACAUUCUUCUGCACUUUUUUCUUCCCCUUUCAUAAUAGUACCAAGCCAAAAGGUACCUACAAAGAUGGAAGUUAAGAACAAGUAUGUAGCAAUAAAAGCCAACAUAAAUGGUGCACCAGAAGAGUCAGACUUCGAGAUAAAAGUCGAAAACCUCUCACUUAUGGUUGAGCCAGAGUCUAAGGUGGUGGUUGUCAAGAACCUGUUUGUAUCGAUUUAGCCGUAUCAGAUAAACUGAAUGAAGAGCCAAAGUUCAUCACAAACAUCGAAGUUGUGCAACUACCAUUACUCCUGGAGAGGUCAUUGACACUUAUGGUGUAGGAAGAGUGUUGGUUUCUCAUCGGCCCGACUUCAAGAAAGAUGAUUUGGUAGCAGGCUUUCUUAC